rnacentral:rRNA from 1 species
UACGUAGGGUGCAAGCGUUAAUCGGAAUUACUGGGCGUAAAGCGUGCGCAGGCGGUUUUGUAAGUCUGUCGUGAAAUCCCCGGGCUCAACCUGGGAAUUGCGAUGGAGACUGCAAGGCUAGAAUCUGGCAGAGGGGGGUAGAAUUCCACGUGUGAGCAGUGAAAUGCGUAGAGAUGUGGAGGAACACCAGCGGCGAAGGCGGCGCUCUGGGCCGGAACUGACGCUGAGGAGCGAAAGCGUGGGUAGCAAACAGG